rnacentral:tRNA from 1 species
AGGGAUAUAGCCCAGUUUUAGAGUGUUACCUUUAUGUGGUAAAAGUCAUAAGUCUGAGUCUAAUUAUUUCUG